rnacentral:tRNA from 1 species
GCGGGGGUGGCAGAGCCUGGCCAAAUGCGCAAAUUCAUGAUAAAUGGAGUGGAUGGUUGAGGGCCUUGUCCCUUAGUGGGUGCGAGGGUUCGAAUCCCUUCCCCCGCA